rnacentral:rRNA from 1 species
GACGAACGCUGGCGGCGUGCUUAACACAUGCAAGUCGAGCGGAGCGGCGAACGGGUGAGUAACGCGUGAGUAACUGCCCCCCUCUCUGGGAUAACAGUUGGAAACGGCUUCUAUCACCGGAUAGUGGGGGAUGACUCGCGUCCUAUCCGCUUGUUGGUGGGGUAGUGGCCUACUAAGGCGACGACGGGUAGCCGGCCGAAGAGGGCGAACGGCCAGAUAGGGCUGAGAUACGGCCCAAACUCCUACGGGAGGCAGAAGUGGGGAAUAUUGCACAAGAGGGGAAACCCUGAUGCAGGAACGCCGCGUGCGGAAUGACGGCCUUCGGGUUGUAAGCCGCAUUCAGCCAUGACGCGGUAGUGGCAGAAGAAGCACCGGCUAACUACGUGCCAGCAGCCGCGGUAAUAG